GGGUUUCUGUGGAAGAGCUGGGUCAAGAGAUUAUAACAGGCAGAUUGCCAUUCCCCUCUGUGGGUGGCACACCAGUGAAUGACCUGGUACGAGUUUUGGUGGUGGCAGAAUCAAACACCCCAGAAGAGACUCCAGAGGAGGAGUUUUAUGCCUAUGUGGAACUUCAGACUGAGUUGUACACCUUUGGUCUGUCUGAUGACAAUGUGGUUUUCACUAGCGAUUAUAUGACUGUGUGGAUGAUUGACAUUCCCAAAUCUUAUGUGGAUGUGGGCAUGCUCACACGAGCAACUUUCCUGGAGCAGUGGCCGGGUGCCAAAGUGACUGUCAUGAUUCCCUACUCCUCCACCUUUACCUGGUGUGGAGAGCUUGGCGCCAUCUCUGAAGAAUCUGCCCCACAACCAAGUUUGAGUGCCAGAUCCCCGGUCUGUAAGAACAGUGCCAGAUAUUCUACCUCAAAAUUUUGCGAGGUAGAUGGAUGCACAGCUGAAACUGGCAUGGAAAAGAUGUCUCUGCUCACUCCAUUUGGAGGCCCACCUCAACAGGCUAAGAUGAACACUUGCCCAUGCUACUACAAGUACAGCGUGAGCCCACUGCCUGCCAUGGACCACUUGAUCCUAGCUGACCUAGCUGGCCUGGAUUCUCUCACUUCACCUGUUUAUGUGAUGGCAGCAUAUUUUGAUUCUACACAUGAAAAUCCUGUGAGACCAUCCAGCAAGCUUUAUCAUUGUGCUCUACAGAUGACAAGUCAUGAUGGGGUGUGGACUUCAACUUCCAGUGAGCAGUGUCCCAUUAGACUGGUUGAGGGCCAGUCUCAAAAUGUGCUGCAGGUCCGGGUGGCUCCGACAUCGAUGCCUAACCUGGUUGGGGUCAGCUUGAUGUUGGAGGGGCAACAGUACAGGCUGGAGUAUUUUGGGGAUCAUUGAUACUCAGUAACUUAAGAGGAAAUUUUUUUGUUAAAAAUAAAGUUAUUUUUAAAAAA
rnacentral:tmRNA from 1 species